AUUUACUUUUCUGCCUUGUCAAUGCCCGAUCUCGUUGGAUCUCAGAAACUAAACAUGGUUUGGCCUUGUUAGUACUUGGAUAGGAAACCACUCAAUACCAGGUGCACAGUGGGUG
rnacentral:rRNA from 1 species